CAGAUCAUAACAAGCAUGGACAAAUUGCUGCAGUACAACAGUCAGUUCAGAGGUCCUCCACUGCAAAACACGAACCAUGUAGCCUGAAGAUGUCUCCAAAUUCUUAUAUGGAAAGAAAUUCCCUUCCUUUCCAGACAAAGUACCUGAAGUACCAUAAUUGGGUAAAGUGAUCCGUUGAACAUGCUCAAUUAUAUUGUGCAACGAUUUGCCUAGAUCUGACCGGAACUUCUGAUUAUUCCCAUCUGUCAACAAGACAUCAACAUCAUUAAUUCCACAAGAUGAAUCCAUCAGAAAAGAUUUAUCUGUAGGCUUCCAGGAGAUGUAACCACCAACUUGAGGGGAAUUUGAUGCAUCAAGAUGUUUUG
rnacentral:misc_RNA from 1 species